GAUGAACGCUGGCGGCGUGCCUAAUACAUGCAAGUCGAGCGAACAGACGAGGAGCUUGCUCCUCUGACGUUAGCGGCGGACGGGUGAGUAACACGUGGAUAACCUACCUAUAAGACUGGGAUAACUUCGGGAAACCGGAGCUAAUACCGGAUAAUAUAUUGAACCGCAUGGUUCAAUAGUGAAAGACGGUUUUGCUGUCACUUAUAGAUGGAUCCGCGCCGCAUUAGCUAGUUGGUAAGGUAACGGCUUACCAAGGCAACGAUGCGUAGCCGACCUGAGAGGGUGAUCGGCCACACUGGAACUGGGACACGGUCCAGACUCCUACGGGAGGCAGCAGUAGGGAAUCUUCCGCAAUGGGCGAAAGCCUGACGGAGCAACGCCGCGUGAGUGAUGAAGGUCUUCGGAUCGUAAAACUCUGUUAUUAGGGAAGAACAAAUAUGUAAGUAACUAUGCACGUCUUGACGGUACCUAAUCAGAAAGCCACGGCUAACUACGUG
rnacentral:rRNA from 1 species